UUCUGCCUCAGACUAAAGAUUGAGCUUUCUCUUUUAACAAAAUAGAAAGUAUUGAAAGAAAAAAUAAUAACUACCUAAAUACUGAGUAAAUGAAAUUUGGAAAAUAAGGAUCAUUGGCAAUUAGGUCUGAAUAUUUGUAUCAUCUCCUGUGUUCUGUACUCCUCAGAAUGAAGGCAAUAGAGAUGAUUUAGCAUCUUUCAUGGGCAUGAGCUCUGUGCUUGCCUCUGAAUAGUAGGAGGAUGGAGAUUAAUGAUGGAUGUUCCUGCUAUUUCAGCUUCUGCUGUGCUCACUUGUCACACCGCCCCUGUGUCAGGAAGGAAACUAAGAAUGAAGGCAGUAGAGAUGAUUUAGCAUCUUCCAAGGACAGGAGCUCUGGUUGCCUCUGUAUAAUAGGAGGAUGGAGAUUAAUAGUGAAUGCACUGGACCAGAAAUGAGGAUUCUUCCUCGAGUGCCAGCCUAGGAUGGCAUCUUGGUUGUAAGAGCCAGGACACCCAUGAUGGAUGUUCCUGCUAUUUCAGCUUCUGCUGUGCUCACUUGUCACACCGCCCCUGUGUCAGGAAGGAAACUAAGAAUGAAGGCAGUAGAGCUGAUUUAGCAUCUUCCAAGGACAGGAGCUCUGGUUGCCUCUGUAUAAUAGGAGGCUGGAGAUUAA